GAAGUAAGUGAAGACUGCAGGGGUCAGCAAGAAGGUGGCAAGGAGAACAAGGGAUGGGGGCAGCAUCCAGAAGACCCACAGAGAGAAGAACAGAAGGAAAAUCUGUUUGCGUGAACCGCCCAGCCACCUCUGCUGACCUGGCUCUUCCUGCUGCCUCACGAUGCCUCAGCCCCAAGAACUGAGGGCUCAAGGGACCCACAGGCUUUGGUUUUCUGGCCCUGGGAAGUACCCCCCGCCCCCCAGGCUGCACCUUUCUCCAGGAUUAAAGCCCCUUUCCUCCCCACUCCCGAGGACGCUUCACAGGAACAGAGCUGGGAAAUCUCUCAGCUGUGUGUCAUUUCACCAGAGUGGUCUUUUAAAAAGAAGUCACAGAGCCUGAUGCAGGGCUCGAAAUCACAAACUGUGAGGCCAUGACCGGAGCCAAAGUCUGACGCUUAACUGAUUGAACCACCCAGGCGCCCCACACCAGACUGGUCUUGAAGGUGGGUAGCUCUUGGUGAAUUUCUGCAGAGUGGCAAUGCUGGCUUUAAAAAUGCCACAGUUGGACUGUCC